rnacentral:rRNA from 1 species
CAGCCUGAUGGAGCACACCGCGUGAGUGAAGAAGGGUUUCGGCUCGUAAAGCUCUGUUGUUGGAGAAGAACGUGCGUGAGAGUAACUGUUCACGCAGUGACGGUAUCCAACCAGAAAGUCACGGCUAACUACGUGCCAGCAGCCGCGGUAAUACGUAGGUGGCAAGCGUUAUCCGGAUUUAUUGGGCGUAAAGCGAGCGCAGGCGGUUGCUUAGGUCUGAUGUGAAAGCCUUCGGCUUAACCGAAGAAGUGCAUCGGAAACCGGGCGACUUGAGUGCAGAAGAGGACAGUGGAACUCCAUGUGUAGCGGUGGAAUGCGUAGAUAUAUGGAAGAACACCAGUGGCGAAGGCGGCUGUCUGGUCUGCAACUGACGCUGAGGCUCGAAAGCAUGGGUAGCGAACAGGAUUAGAUACC